rnacentral:lncRNA from 1 species
UGGCUUUCCCAUUCUACUCCUGAUCUGGUCCUGCCCUUCAACGGCGCUCUUCCUUCCUCCCUUCCUGGAUGGAUGUUCCGUGCCUGCAGGGGGCGCCAUGGAGACCUUUGUGAUGCGCUGCAGCAUCUCCAACUGAAGGCUGUUUCCUCUGAAAGCUCACUUUCCUCUUUACAUCAGGAAGGAAGGCAGUUGCUGUCUUUCUCUCGUGGUUCUUGCUCCUUGCCCGUUGCUUUGGCAGCCUGUAGCUGUGUCGCCUGGUUUGGUCCACAUCCCGGUGAGAUACGCCUUGUUGAUUCCUCGCUUCACCUGCCAAGUCCGUCCCAUAUCAUGCUUUGUGUGGAUUCCAUUUUCUUUUGAGGCCUGUUUUUUCUUUUCUUCACAAGCACCCACACAAACACUCCAGUUCCUUACACACACACCCUUCAUACAUAUACAGUAGAGUCUCACUAAUCCAAGCCUCGCUUAUCCAAGCCUCUGGAUAAUCCAAGCCAUUUUUGUAGUCAAUGUUUUCAAUAUAUCGUGAUUUUUUGGUGCUAAAUUCGUAAAUACAGUAAUUACAACAUAACAUUACUGCGUAUUGAACUACUUUUUCUGUCAAAUUUGUUGUAUAACAUGAUGUUUUGGUGCUUAAUUUGUAAAAUCAUAACCUAAUUUGAUGUUUAAUAGGCUUUUCCAUAAUCCCUCCUUAUUAUCCAAGAUAUUCGCUUAUCCAAGCUUCUGCCGGCCCGUUUAGCUUGGAUUAGUGAGACUCUACUGUAUAUAUUUAAUAUAGUGAAAUAGUUAACAUGCAUCACAAUUCAUAAUUGCCUUUCUAACUAUUGCAAUUUGUUUUCAAUUCCAGAGAAUUGAUUAGUAGUGUUUCAUGCAUCUCAAAUGCCAUAGUAUACAUAAUAUCCGUAGGAAUACGAGUAUCCCUCUUCAUAAUAUUGGGUGCAUCAGUAGAUGUAAACAUACUGCUGCUGCUUUGGAUGAAUAUCCUUUGAAUAUAUCAUACCCGUGACAUUCUGUUGGGCUGCUUCCUUCUACCGCCACUCUCUGGCAUUUUCCAUCAACCUGUUGAAUCCUAACAAAAUCUUUCUUAGUUCUUUCCUCAUAACUUAGUUCUUUCCUCAUAACUCUCCAAAUGUUUCCUCACACGUUCAUUUGUUUUUACUAGUAUGUUUAAUUUUUCCCAAUUAAUUCCUAAUACUCUAUUUGUUGAUAACUUUUUAAACUUCAGGUCUAUUUCACUGUCUCUGUUUUCCAUCACAUACAUCAAAUUCCCAGUUUCAUAAUCUUGAAAAAAGCUUGCAUUACAUUUACAUUUCAACCCAUUGUUCGUUUAUCGAGUUCUAUUAUAUUUCCAUCAGGCCAUAACAUUAGCUGAACAGUAGUAACACAAAGACACCCCGUUCCUGUAUCUUGUAUGAAUGUAUCAUGACCCAUGUCUUUAACCUACACAUACCAUCCUCUGUUUAUACCACACGUGGUCCUAUCUGUGUGAGGUGUGGUGGGCACCCAUAACCUGCCUUGGACCGCAAGAAUAUCUAACCAGUCCAUACUCCAGGAAAGAAAGCCCGACUGCUCACUGGAGGGAAGGAUGUUAGAGGCAAAGAUGAAGUCCUUUGGCCACAUCAUGAGAAGACAGGAAAGUUUGGAGAAGAUAAUGAUGAUGGGUAAAAUUGAAAGAAAAAGGAAGCAGGCCGACCAAGGGCAAGAUGGGUGGAUGGGAUCCUUGAAGGGACUGACUCCACCUUGAAGAAGCUGCAGGUGGCCUCGGCCGACAGGGAGCUCUGCCCUGGGAUGGUCCAGCAGGUCACCAAGAGUCAGAAGCGACUGAACGAAUAACCAACAACAGAAGUCCCAUAGGAUGUGGUGUCGGAGCUCAUGAGUGGUAAGAGCAAGGUGUUGGGAUUGGGGAAAUAAGGUGUGUAUGUGAUGGAUGAGAUUUUGAAAACUGUCUGUUUCUUUGAUUUUCUUCAUAGAACGUAAAAAAAAAAAAGAACGUAAAAAGUUUUACUCCAUGCAUUGGCUCCGGUUUCGCAGAAAUGAGUUGAACCAAUUGAGGGCCUGACCACGAACUCCGGACAUGGCGAGAUGGUGAAUCAUUAGAUCGUAGUCAACGGUGUCAAAUGCUGCGGUAAGGUCGAGAAGUACCAGUAGCGCUGAUCCGCCGCUAUCAGACUGGCGACGAAGUUCAUCUGUAAUGGCAACCAGGACUGUCUCCGUCCCAUGGCCAGGGCGGAAGCCUGACUGGAAAGGGUCCAGGCCGGCUGUAUCAUCCAGAAAUUGUUGCAAUUGUCCCAGCACAGCCCGCUCUAUCAUCUUACCCAAGAAUGGGAGGUUGGAGACAG